CCUACGGGGGGCAGCAGUGAGGAAUAUUGGUCAAUGGACGAGAGUCUGAACCAGCCAAGUAGCGUGAAGGAUGACUGCCCUAUGGGUUGUAAACUUCUUUUAUAUGGGAAUAAAACGUUCCACGUGUGGGAUUUUGUAUGUACCAUAUGAAUAAGGAUCGGCUAACUCCGUGCCAGCAGCCGCGGUAAUACGGAGGAUCCGAGCGUUAUCCGGGUUUAUUGGGUUUAAAGGGAGCGUAGGUGGAUUGUUAAGUCAGUUGUGAAAGUUUGCGGCUCAACCGUAAAAUUGCAGUUGAAACUGGCAGUCUUGAGUACAGUAGAGGUGGGCGGAAUUCGUGGUGUAGCGGUGAAAUGCUUAGAUAUCACGAAGAACUCCGAUUGCGAAGGCAGUUCACUGGACUGCAACUGACACUGAGGCUCGAAAGUGUGGGUAUCAAACAGGAUUAGAUACCCUUGUAGUC
rnacentral:rRNA from 1 species